AUUGAACGCUGGCGGCAGGCCUAACACAUGCAAGUCGAGCGGAUGAAGGGAGCUUGCUCCUGGAUUCAGCGGCGGACGGGUGAGUAAGUCCUACGAAUCUGCCUGGUAGUUGGGGAUAACGUCCGUACACGGGCGCUAAUACCGCAUACGUCCUGAGGGAGAAAGUGGGGGAUCUUCGGACCUCACGCUAUCAGCUGAGCCUAGGUCGUAUUAGCUAGUUGGUGGGGUAAAGGCCUACCAAGGCGACGAUCCGUAACUGGUCUGAGAGGAUGAUCAGUCACACUGGAACUGAGACACGGUCCAGACUCCUACGGGAGGCAGCAGUGGGGAAUAUUGGACAAUGGGCGAAAGCCUGAUCCAGCCAUGCCGCGUGUGUGAAGAAGGUCUUCGGAUUGUAAAGCACUUUAAGUUGGGAGGAAGGGCAGUAAGUUAAUACCUUGCUGUUUUGACGUUACCAACAGAAUAAGCACCGGCUAACUUCGUG
rnacentral:rRNA from 1 species